rnacentral:lncRNA from 1 species
GUUCCCCACAAACAUGCCCUUAACCUCAGCUUGGACUGAGGAUUUCAACAUUCACUUUAACAAAUUAUAUUAAACAUUUUUUUUAAAGCAACAAACAUUAGGAGGCAAAAAAGGGAAAAAGCUACGAUCUCGCCUUUAUAUACGACCCAUCAUGUGCCCUCAGGCCUAUAACCACACCUCCCUUACUCGCUCUUUCUUUACUAAGCCACUUACCUCUUUGCUUUUGAGCACAAAUUCUAGCUUAAGCCGUGCUACUUAUAUUUUCACUUUCUUCGUACAUUAAUUAUAUCAAAGAUGAUUGCCGGCGACCUCCGAGGAUUAGUUGACGUCGGCCGAAAACACAAAGGAAGCGGUGGUUGGUGGUGGUGGUGGCAUGGCGACGAAUGGUUCUUUUGUAAAUACGGGUGAAAGAAUGGACAAAAAGAAACAAACAAGGCUUUGCAAUUGCGCUCUCCUGAGUUUCUAGCCUAGUAAAGAGGCAGAAUUGGGAGAGCGGCAUCAUUGCAUUGCGGGGAAUUGAGGGUAGCGGUCCGAUUUUACUUUAACUCUGGUUCUCUAAUAAUCCUUUUCUUCUUGGUUCCUUGUUUAAUCUCGAAUCUUGUGUUUCUUUCUUUUCUUUACUCUUUUCAUCUGUAUCUUCCCUUAUUUGACUGCUUUUUCCUUUAUUUAGGAUUAUUCUUAAUAUUUAUGAGAUGAACAUGGGAUGUAAGAGAUGCAUACGAAGUAGCUAGCUAGCUCGUUUAAGGUCGUACUUAAAAGUGUAGGAUUUUGAGUUUGGGGUUUCGGAUUGGAGUUUGGUUUUGGGGUUUUGGUAGUUUUAUGUAUAAAAUGCUGCUGGGCAUGCAUCACUUACAACUAUCAUGUAUUUUCUUUUCUAUUAUAGACUUGGUAAUGUUUCUCUGUCUCUGGCUGCACAGUUUGCCAUAUGAAUUAGCACUUGGUGUAAAUUUCGGGUUUCCAUUUUGUUCAGUUGGCCCAACUUGCCUAUAAUUAUCCCUUUUCCGAUCUCCGUCUUAAUCGCUGGCUUAUAAAAAAUAAAAGAAAUAUGUUUUGGCCUGUAAAGCUUGGUGAUUUCUAAGGAAAUGCUUGGCAAUCAGACUUGUCCUUUUCAGCAUGGGAAUCACUAAGCAAGAUGUUUGACUGCUGCUAUUACUUUAUUUUUCUGAAACCCUUUUGCAGGAGGAUUCAUUUGCUGCUACUUCAGACGAUAGCACACUGGUCAGUUGGUCAUCGAUUCUUUUAGACCCUGGUGCUAAUUUAGAUCUAUUAUGCGGAUAAUCAAACCUAUUUUAGGCUCUUCGAGUAUGUUUGGUAUUGUAAUUGGAGCGACAAAUGCAAUUUUAAAUAAUAUAGAAAUUGUGAUUAUAUUUCUCGAUUAAAGUGAUUUUGUUCAUAAUAACAAAAGUAAGUAGGAAUUUCGAUUGCUAUAACUUUUAAUCGCAAUCUCAAUGUUAAAUUGGACCUAAAUACUCUUGAAAAAAAAAACAUUUGUAAUUUCUUAAAAAAUGAAAAAGAAGGAAAUUAUUGACCAGUGGUAGAUUGACUCAACUGAUAAGGUUGUCCCCAUCACGUAAGUGGUUUUUGUUCAAGCCUUACUAAUGAUCUCUCUUGGCCUAUCCAGUUAGAAA